rnacentral:rRNA from 1 species
UACGUAGGGAGCAAGCGUUGUUCGGAUUUACUGGGCGUAAAGGGCGCGUAGGCGGCAAUUCAAGUCAUCUGUGAAAUCUCCGGGCUUAACUCGGAACGGUCAGAUGAUACUGCUUUGCUAGAGUGCGGAAGGGGCAAUCGGAAUUCUCGGUGUAGCGGUGAAAUGCGUAGAUAUCGAGAGGAACACCUGAGGUGAAGACGGGUUGCUGGGCCGACACUGACGCUGAGGCGCGAAAGCCAGGGGAGCAAACGGG